ACCCCGAACGGCGGAUCACUUGGCUCGUGGAUCGAUGAAGACCGCAGCUAUCUGCGCGUCGUCGUUUAAUCCGCAGGUUAUA
rnacentral:rRNA from 1 species